UCACCUGUGCCUUGAUACAUGUGUGGAGC
rnacentral:piRNA from 1 species